rnacentral:lncRNA from 1 species
GAGGUGGAGGGAGAAUCUGAGCCGGGAAAGGAACUAGGCUCUGGUUCUUUAAGAUGGUCAUUCGAGAUGAUCGGGAAAGUCUUAGGAGACUCUGGGGGAGAAAGCUUUUCUGGGGGAGAAAUAUCCUUUAGGACUUGAUCUGUAAGAACGUUGAGCUCUACUUGGUCAAGACGGAUUUUCAGAUUCUUGAUUUCUCCCUUUAGG